rnacentral:tRNA from 1 species
GUCCUUGUAGCUCAGUUGGAUAGAGCAUCGGUUUCCUAAACCGGGGGUCGCAGGUUCGAAUCCUGCCAAGGACG